UACGGAGGGAGCUAGCGUUGUUCGGAAUUACUGGGCGUAAAGCGCGCGUAGGCGGCUUUGUAAGUUAGAGGUGAAAGCCCGGGGCUCAACCCCGGAACUGCCUUUAAAACUGCAUCGCUUGAAUCCAGGAGAGGUGAGUGGAAUUCCGAGUGUAGAGGUGAAAUUCGUAGAUAUUCGGAAGAACACCAGUGGCGAAGGCGGCCAACUGGUCCGGCACUGACGCUGAGGUGCGAAAGCGUGGGGAGCAA
rnacentral:rRNA from 1 species